rfam:Loxodonta africana unplaced genomic scaffold scaffold_4, whole genome shotgun sequence.
AUACUCUGGUUUCUCUUCAAAUCGUAUAAAUCUUUCGCCUUUUACUAAAGAUUUCCGUGGAGAGGAACAAACCUGAGUUUUUAACCAAUUUUUUGAGGCCUUGCUUAAUGCAAGGCU